AUUGAACGCUGGCGGCAGGCCUAACACAUGCAAGUCGAGCGGAGCGGCUGACGGACGAGUAAUGCAUAUGAAUCUACCUGGCAGUUGGGGAUACCUUCCUGCAACGGGCGCUAAUACCUCCUACUUUCAAUUGAGCGUAGGUGGGAUUCGCUAGUUGGUGGGGUAACUGCCUACCAAGCCGACGAUCCGUAACUGGUCUGAGAGGAUGAUCAGUCACACUGGAACUGAGACACGGUCCAGACUCCUACGGGAGGCAGCAGUGGGGAAUAUUGGACAAUGGGCGAAAGCCUGAUCCAGCCAUGCCGCGUGUGUGAAGAAGGUCUUCGGAUUGUAAAGCACUUUAAGUUGGGAGGCGUUACCAACAGAAUAAGCACCGGCUAACUCCGUGCCAGCAGCCGCGGUAAUUC
rnacentral:rRNA from 1 species